rnacentral:piRNA from 1 species
UGACAAUUGUUACUGGAAAGCCUGCCC